rnacentral:rRNA from 1 species
UGAACGCUGGCGGUAGGCCUAUCACAUGCACGUCGAACGGCAGCACAGUAAGAGCUUGCUCUUACGGGUGGCGAGUGGCGGACGGGUGAGGAAUACAUCGGAAUCUACUUUUUCGUGGGGGAUAACGUAGGGAAACUUACGCUAAUACCGCAUACGACCUACGGGUGAAAGCAGGGGAUCUUCGGACCUUGCGCGAUUGAAUGAGCCGAUGUCGGAUUAGCUAGUUGGCGGGGUAAAGGCCCACCAAGGCGACGAUCCGUAGCUGGUCUGAGAGGAUGAUCAGCCACACUGGAACUGAGACACGGUCCAGACUCCUACGGGAGGCAGCAGUGGGGAAUAUUGGACAAUGGGCGCAAGCCUGAUCCAGCCAUACCGCGUGGGUGAAGAAGGCCUUCGGGUUGUAAAGCCCUUUUGUUGGGAAAGAAAAGCAGCAGGUUAAUACCCCGCUGUUCUGACGGUACCCAAAGAAUAAGCACCGGCUAACUUCGUG